GGGGCCUGGCGCGUCCGCCGAGCGCGGGGGUUUGUUUAUUUUCGCGGUUGGUAGCGGCGCUGGCGCUGGUUAGAGGUUCGCCGGUGACGUGAGCGCCCGAGUUGGGGGAGAGGACCAGAACCACCUGCUGGAGAAGGGGAGCUACGGGGGCCGGGCAGGGUCCAAACGCCUCACGUAGGCGGCGGCGCCACGGUCUUCGGGGUCACAGGGAAGAGAAGGGCUCUCCUCAAGCGGGUGGAAGGAGGGAGGCCUCCCGAGGGAGUGAGACUCUAGGCCACUCCCCCGCAGCAAGGCAGGAUCACCUGCGACGCGGAGAGCGGUUAGAGGGCCCUGGAGUGGAAAAGGGCAGUGGGACCUGGUAGCUUGGGUUCCCUGCAACUUGGGGUUCGACCUCCAGGCAAUGAAGUAGGGAUGGUCCUGCAAGUCAAGAUUCCAGUAGCAAGAGUGCAUCAGAUCUCUGUCGUAGUGGACUAAUUUUACAGGCGAAGUUAAGUGACUUACCCAAAACCUCACAGCUAAUAAACGGCAGAGCCGGCACCCAGCUGUACUGGCUUCCAAUUCUGUUAGCUUACCAGCGCAUCACAUUAUCUCCAUAAAUCCCCAUGAUUCAACUAAUAUUAGACGCCCCACAGAGUCUCGCUACUCAAAACGUGGUCAGUGGCCCAGCAGCACUGACAUGAGGAUGUUAGUUAGAAACUCAGAAUCUCAGGCUCCACCCCAGACCUGCUGAACCAGCAUCUUCAACUUAACAAGAACCCGAAGAGAUUUGUGUCACAUCAAAAAGUUUGAGAAGCUCUGAUCUAGGGCUGGAAGGAGUGUUGCUCAACAAUAUCCAAAACCACAGAGGUUGAAAAGCACAAGGAAAGAAGGUAUGUUUGCACUUUGUGAUUAGGUAGUAGGGUCUUUGAGACCACAUUGUUCUUAUUGAAAGCCUGGGAAGAAAGAUCCCCUUUCUGGUCAAGUUUAGUCUAGGGAUCCAUCCCAUCUUCCCCAGUUCCCACGUGUAUGGGACAUGUCGAGAUAAGUAGAUAGAUUGGACAGUGGGAGAAAGUAGUUCUCUUCCAGUUGCUUCUAUUUUCUCAGCAAAGUGAGGAGCAAGAUCAUUUUGGCAGACUGCUAAUUGUCCAUCACAAUUUAGUCUCCCUUUCUCCCUGAAAACACAGACUGCUUUUCUCAGCCUCUCUUUCAGUUGCAUAUGGUCAAGUAUUAAGUUAUAGAACGUGAGCAGAUGUUAUGUCUGCCACUGUCAGGCCAAGGCGUUUACUUUGAGAGUACUUGUGCCUCUUUCAUGCAUUUUCCUUUCUGCCAGCUGGACCCUGGACACGGUGACUCUGAUUCAAUUAUGCAGAUGACCACAAACCUCUGGGGUUGGCAGAGCCACAAGAAAGAAGGUGCCUGGAUGAAGGAGAGCUACCCACUGACCUGGACACCCAAUUAUAGGAUAGACAGUGAAGUGCAACUACAGCCCGCAAAUGAAAAUGAAUAAUAUUAAUCCAGCCCCUCAAGGCAGUCAUCUGUCUUAGAGCUAUUGGAAUCCUGGAUCAUUGUGGGAAAUGAAAGGAACUGGUUUUUAGCAAGGAGACCAAGAAACUCUACUCCCUAGGGGCUAGCAAUGAGAGAAAGGAAGCCUUAAGUCUUUGAGCACAGGGUGACAGUUUGGGUCCUAUGUGAGAUGAUCAAAUCCACAGCAACAGAGGAAAGGACAAAAGGAAAAGGUCUGUAGCAGCACUACAUCAGAAAAAAAUGGAUUCAGCAAGGAAGUGGGUGACUCUGAGUAAGCAUCCAUGUCAGGAUGGUUUUGCUACAGCCCCCAACAAAACAUUAAUUAGUUUAAGAAACUCAACUUCGGUUUACAAGUGUUUUGGAAAAGUAACAAAGAACAACAUAAGUAACAAAAUAAUUCCUCAGGUCAUUACAAUGGAUGUUUCCUAUAACUGAAAAAUAUGGUUAAAAAGUACAAACUACAUUUGGUGUGCAAACUGUUUAGUUCUUAAUUCCAAACUAAAUUGUACAUUAUAUAGUAAAAUUUUGACCAGAAAAACUUGGAGAUUUUAGUAAAAAUUUCAUUGACAUAUUUACAGCCCCAGUGUAGUUUGGCCGGUGUGCAAAGCCUGACUAAGGAGGUUAUAGAAAAAAAUAUCAGACUUAAGCCCAUCAAAUCAUUAAAGAUGCUUUGGCAAGACUUCAAGCUUUACAGACAUACUCCAUGUGACCAGAGAUGUCAUAACCAGUGUUCUUUCUCUUGAAAUGUUAGAAUGCUUUAGUUUUAUUCUAUAAUUUCCGUGUUCCAUGGAACAGCAUUCAUUUCUCCCAGUUUUAGUAACAUAAUGAGAGAUAUAUUGAGUGUAUAGAGCAGGAAAGACAUGAAAACUUAUAUUGCAUAAUAUUAGCAAACAUAAAAGAUAGCAUUAUAAAUUUUUAAAAAUCCAAAAAAAUUCCAGAAACAGAACAGUGAGCAUGUUUAAAAAGUCAGGACUGACCGUUUCUGUGAGUUCUGAGGACUGUAAAUGAGCCUCAAUCCAUAAAGCUGAGAGGUUGUCUUAGCCCACAUAUGCAGCAGGUGACUCCCUCUGACAAAAGCAAGAUUUAGCUGGAUCUUUUAAAAAAAAAA
rnacentral:lncRNA from 1 species